rnacentral:tRNA from 1 species
GUCGCAGUGGUUUAGUGGUAAAAUUCGUGCUUGCCAUACAAUUACUUGUAUACUGCACGAGCCCCGUGUUCGAUUCACGGCUGCGACA